rnacentral:misc_RNA from 1 species
UCCGGUUUGUCACCGGCAGUCAUUCUAGAGUGCCCACCCUUACGUGCUGGCAACUAAAAUCAAGGGUUGCGCUCGUUGCGGGACUUAACCCAACAUCUCACGACACGAGCUGACGACAACCAUGCACCACCUGUCUCCUCUGUCCCGAAGGCCUACGCAAUCUCUUCCGUAUUCAGAGGGAUGUCAAGACCUGGUAAGGUUCUUCGCGUUGCUUCGAAUUAAACCGCACGCUCCGCCGCUUGUGCGGGCCCCCGUCAAUUCCUUUGAGUUUUAGCCUUGCGGCCGUACUCCCCAGGCGGCCGACUUCCCGCGUUAGCUCCGGCACGGAGGGGGUCAAGUCCCCCCACGCCUAGUCGGCAUCGUUUGCUGCGUGGACUAC